UACGGAGGAUGCGAGCGUUAUCCGGAUUUAUUGGGUUUAAAGGGUGCGCAGGCGGGAGAUUAAGUCGGCGGUGAAAUUUUGCAGCUCAACUGUAAAAGUGCCUUCGAAACUGGUUUCCUUGAGUGUGGAUGAGGUAGGCGGAAUUUGUGGUGUAGCGGUGAAAUGCAUAGAUAUCACGAGGAACUCCGAUUGCGCAGGCAGCUUACUAAACCAUAACUGACGCUCAAGCACGAAGGCGUGGGGAUCAAACAGGAUUAGAUACCCCGGUAGU
rnacentral:rRNA from 1 species